GUUGGUGGGGUAACGGCCUACCAAGACUACGAUCAGUAGCCGACCUGAGAGGGUGAUCGGCCACAUUGGAACUGAGACACGGUCCAAACUCCUACGGGAGGCAGCAGUGGGGAAUAUUGCACAAUGGGCGAAAGCCUGAUGCAGCAACGCCGCGUGAGCGAUGAAGGCCUUUGGGUCGUAAAGCUCUGUCCUUGGGGAAGAAAAAAAUGACGGUACCCAAGGAGGAAGCCCCGGCUAACUACGUGCCAGCAGCCGCGGUAAUACGUAGGGGGCAAGCGUUAUCCGGAAUUAUUGGGCGUAAAGAGUACGUAGGUGGUCUUUUAAGCGCAGGGUUUAAGGCAAUGGCUUAACCAUUGUUCGCCCUGUGAACUGGAAGACUUGAGUGUAGGAGAGGAAAGUGGAAUUCCUAGUGUAGCGGUGAAAUGCGUAGAUAUUAGGAGGAACAUCAGUGGCGAAGGCGACUUUCUGGACUAUUACUGACACUGAGGUACGAAAGCGUGGGGAGCAAACAGGAUUAGAUACCCUGGUAGUCCACGCCGUAAACGAUGAGCACUAGGUGUCGGGGUCGCAAGAUUUCGGUGCCGUAGUUAACGCAUUAA
rnacentral:rRNA from 1 species